CAAACUUAGGUAGCCUGGUUUCACCUUUGCGUUGUGGGUGAUUAUUUUCUGUUCAGUGUUUUUUGUAUUCACUGUUCAGGACUGUUUCGUUCUCGUUAUUUUGUUUUGUUUUGUGUUCAUGAUAAUAAAUUAUCAAUAUGGACACUUACCACGCUGCGCAUUGGUCCUCCUCUUCUUCCACCAACAACGGCCGUAACAAGUGAUCAACCUUAAGAGGUGUGCCGAGGAGUCGGACAAAACAAGUAUCGUAAUGGAUAUGGGCAAUGAGUUGUUAACUUUGUACAAGUGACAAGUCAUGCUCUGAGAGAGGUCAGAGAGUGUGUCAGCCUGCUGGAACUGCCCCUUUCCUGCAAACUGUAUAAAUGAUGGCAGGCAACAGGCGGGUGGAGAGAUCGGGGAGCCAGCUUGGAGAGCGGAGAGCGCACACCACCAGCGCAGUCGAGACUAAAACGGAAAUAACGAAUUAACUACCAAGGGGAUUGUCAUUUCCUUAACAUCCUUUCAAUCGUUAAUGACACAUCGUUAAAGGAGGCAAAACGAAAAACACAACAGAGAUUGAUUUAUUAUCCAUAGUUUACCGUUCCAGCGCGUGGAAAGAUGAAGACUAAAAACCUUGAGCAAAGCUUGUCUGAUUCCAGAGAAUUGGAUGGAUCGUAUGACCAGCUGACUGGUGGAAUGAAGAGGAAAUUGGUGGCUCUGGCCAAACACAAAUACCUUAUGCCUUGGGUGAAGAGUAUAUGCAUUCAUCUGUGGUGGAUUUGUAGCUCAUGUGGAGGAGAUGGAGAUCUGUUGGGUCCAUCGCUGGUAAGAGGACGGAGUGGAAUGCCACUGUUACAAUGGAUAGCUAACAUAGGAUCAGCAGAGGAAGUAGAGGUGGCUACAGGAAGAUUCGUCAACCUACAAAGCACUGUACACUCUGGUCAUGCACAAACACCUGCAGAAGGAUCUUGAUCAGAUGGCACUGUUUAAACACAGGCACUCCAAGAUUCAUUGUUUACCCUAAACAAUUAAAACUAUGGAUUGCCUAGCCAAUAUAUCACCCAUCACUCAAAAAUUCAGGAAUGACCUGAUGGAGCGUGUCUUGCAGAGACGCAUGGACAAAUAAUUGAAAUACUAGGAGCCAAAAUCCGUUGGAAAAGGCUGUGGUCUGGUUGACAACAUGGCCCCCAUCCCAACAUGGUCCUCCUUGCACUACAACCUAAUACAAACACAUUAUAUUGUAACAUAAUUUGUUAGCCUCUGGUUCUUAUCACUUAUCACUUAUCACUAUCAUGUACAUAAAAGCAUAUCUAAUUUAUACUGUCUAUUUUAUUGUAUAUUUGACAUUUUAUUGAUAUGAAUUUUGAGAAUGCCUUGUCUACACUGUGUAUUGUUCAUUAUACAGACCCCAAGUCUGUGUUGUAAAAAAUCUAUAGCGGUCUUUGCCAGUUCAUCGAUUGUUGUGAUUAUAUUAGGUAUACUCUACUCUGUUUGGGGUUUUACCAAUAUAACUUCAGUAUUCAGAUGUUACUGAUUCAUUGAUCUGACUGCUUUAUUACAUACACGAUACUAUCAUGUGGCAUACUGUAAUAAAUCACUA
rnacentral:lncRNA from 13 species